rnacentral:rRNA from 1 species
AGCAGCCGCGGUAAUUCCAGCUCCAAUAGCGUAUAUUAAAGUUGUUGCAGUUAAAAAGCUCGUAGUUGAAUUUCGGAAUCAAUAUAUCGGUCGUGCCUUGGUACGUACUGGUAUCAUUGGUUUCUCCUUUCUGACGAACCAUGAUGUCAUUAAUUUGGUGUUAUGGGAAGUUAGGACUGUUACUUUGAAAAAUUAGAGUGUUUAAAGCAGGCUUUAGCUUGAAUACAUUAGCAUGGAAUAAUGAAAUAGGACGUUCGAACCUAUUUUGUUGGUUUCUAGGAUCAACGUAAUGAUUAAUAGGGAUAGUUGGGGGCAUUAGUAUUCAAUUGUCAGAGGUGAAAUUCUUGGAUUUAUUGAAGACUAACUACUGCGAAAGCAUUUGCCAAGGAUGUUUUCAUUAAUCAAGAACGAAAGUUGGGGGAUCGAAGACGAUCAGAUACCGUCGUAGUCUUAACCAUAAACUAUGCCGACUAGGGAUCGGAUGAUGUUAAUUUUUUAAUGACUCA